rnacentral:rRNA from 1 species
CCUACGGGUGGCAGCAGUGGGGAAUAUUGGACAAUGGGGGAAACCCUGAUCCAGCGACGCCGCGUGAGUGAAGAAGUAUUUCGGUACGUAAAGCUCUAUCAGCAGGAAAGAAAAUGACGGUACCUGACUCAGAAGCCCCGGCUAACUACGUGCCAUCAGCCGCGGUAAUACGGAGGGGGCAAGCGUUAUCCGGAUUUACUGGGUGUAAAGGGAGCGUAGUCGGCAGCGCAAGUAUGGAGUGAAAUGCCGAGGCCCAACCCCGGAACUGCUCUGGAAACUGUGAAGCUGGAGUGCAGGAGAGGUAGGCGGAAUGCAUGGUGUAGCGGUGAAAUGCGUAGAGAUCAGGAGGAACACCGGCGGCGAAGGCGGCUUACUAGACUGUAACUGACGUUGAGGCUCGAAGGCGUGGGGAGCAAACAGGAUUAGAUACCCGGGUAGUC